AAAAGCGAAAGCACUUCAUCGAGUACUACACGGUCAGAAAGUCCAAAAACAAGCCCCAAUAUCAGCAACGUAAGCAGUUCUUUUGCUCAAACAAGUCACUUGGCUUCCAAAAGUACAAGCAACAGCACUUUUCCAAGAACAACAGGCAAUGACAGUUUGCUUGCAACCUCGAAUUUAAACACAUCAAGCAGCUCAGUUCCUCAAAACAGUCAUUUGAUGUCACAACAUACAAAUGAAAGCACUUCAUCAGGUGCAACAGACCAAGGUUCUUUGUUUACAACCCCGAAUUUCAGCCCUUCAAUCAGUUCCGCUCCUCAAACAAGUGCUUUGGAUUCAAAAAUGACAAAAUACAGCACUUCAUCAGAGACUACAGAGCAAAAUGAUUUGGCUACAAGCCCAACUUUCAACGGAUCAAGUAGUUCAGUUUCUCAAAC